GCCCAUGACCAAUGAUUGAAUAAUUAGUAUUAGGGUGUCUCUAUCAAAGGAAUCUUUUACACGAUAGAUUUGGCCCAAUUUCGCCGUUUUAGUUAUAUGAUCGUCGUAAGUUAAAUGAGAGUCAAGAGUGACUCCCAAGUCACUGGCCGAAACAGCAGGUCUCAUAAGUUGUCUUUGAUCAAAAUGUAUACGUUGUCCAAAGAAACCUAGCUGUGAUAUAAUGUAAAACCUCAACUUUUAAUGUUUUAUUAUGUGUACAAAUACUGAUAUUAAAGGGUAUGGUAUUAGUAAUUAAACCACAGAAUAAAGAUCCAUACAGGAGGGCCACUUACGUCUGAAUCUUUGAAGUUUCUGUCCUCGCGCAUGUCGCAUUACGCAUGUUGGCCGCCAUUUUCCUAGCCAGUCAUUGACAUUUUCCGGCCAAUAAACACGCUGUACUGGCUGGCUGCUCCGCCUUCUGGCCAGUAAACUACAUAUUUUUGUAUAAAAAACGAGGACGCGUUGCACUGCUGAGUGGCCCUUCUGUUGGUCUUUAUUCUGUGCUUAAACUGUAAAAUAAGUCAGCUUGCAAAAUUCUUAUAUUUUUCUUUCGUUAGAUAUUUCAGUUAAUUUAACAUGGAAAUAAGAUGACGUCACAAGCUGGGUAAAAUUUUUG